AGGGCAGACGGUGGAUGCCUUGGCUCUCGGAGGCGAUGAAGGACGUGAUAAGCUGCGAUAAGCUUGGGGUAGGUGCAAAUAACCUUUGAUCCCAAGAUUUCCGAAUGGGGCAACCCGGCUGGUAGAAGGCCAGUCAUUCCGUAAGGAAGGCGAACGUGGGGAACUGAAACAUCUAAGUACCCAUAGGAGAAGAAAACAAAAGUGAUUCCGCAAGUAGUGGCGAGCGAACGCGGAACAGCCCAAACCGAUGAUGUUUAGGCAUUGUCGGGGUAGUAGGACCACGUUGUGGCAAGAGAUUAAGGAAGUAGAACGUUUUGGAACAAACGGCCGUAGACGGUGAAAGCCCGGUAUACGACUCUUUAACGAAGCCUAGUGGAAUCCUGAGUAGCGCGGAGCACGAGAAAUUCUGUGUGAAUCAGCGGGGCCCAUCCCGUAAGGCUAAAUACUCCCGAGAGACCGAUAGCGAACCAGUACUGUGAAGGAAAGGUGAAAAGCACCUCGAACAGAGGAGUGAAAUAGUCCCUGAAACCGUCUGCCUACAAGCGGUCGGAGCAACGUAAGUUGUGACGGCGUGCCUUUUGCAUAAUGAACCUACGAGUUACUUUCUCCGGCAAGGUUAAGGGCUUCAGGCCCGGAGCCGAAGCGAAAGCGAGUCUUAAUAGGGCGUGAUAGUCGGAGUGAGUAGACGCGAAACCAAGUGAUCUACCCUUGGUCAGGAUGAAGGUUGGGUAACACCAACUGGAGGUCCGAAUGGGUAUACGUUGAAAAGUGUUCCAAUGAACUGAGGGUAGGGGUGAAAGGCUAAUCAAACUUGGAGAUAGCUCGUACUCCCCGAAAUGCAUUUAGGUGCAGCCUUUAUUUAGUAUAGCAUGAGGUAGAGCGACUGAUUGGAUGCGAGGGCUUCACCGCCUAUCAAGUCCAGAUAAACUCCGAAUGCGUGCUAUAUAUUGAUAAGGAGUGAGGGCGCGGGUGCUAAGGUCCGCGUCCGAGAGGAGAAGAAUCCAGACCAUCAGCUAAGGUCCCCAAAUAACAGUUAAGUUGAACUAACGAAGUCGGACUGCAGAGACAGCUAGGAUGUUGGCUUGGAAGCAGCCAUUCAUUUAAAGAGUGCGUAACAGCUCACUAGUCGAGGAGUCCGGCGUGGAUAAUACUCGGGCAUAAACUGUUUACCGAAGCUAUGGAUGUAGAAAUACAUGGUAGGGGAGCAUUCCAACGGCGUUGAAGGUGAAGGAUGACCUUUGCUGGAGCUUUUGGAAACGCAAAUGUAGGUAUAAGUAACGAUAAAGGAGGUGAGAAACCUCCUCGCCGAAAGACUAAGGUUUCCUGAUCAACGUUAAUCGGAUCAGGGUAAGUCGGGACCUAAGGUUAAGCCGAACGGCGAUACCGAUGGAAGAAUGGUUUAAUAUUCCCAUACUACUUUAUGGAGCGAUGUGGAGACGGAGAAGUGAAAGUCCUGCCAUCUGACGGAAUAGGUGGUUGAAGAGUGUAGAUGUAGAUUCCUGUAGGCAAAUCCGCAGGGAGAGUCGACCUUGACAGUAUGCCGCGUGCUUGCACAAGGCAAAAUGGACGUAAUCAGGCUCCCAAGAAAAUCCGCUAAGCAUAUUCAUAAAGUACCCGUACCGUAAACGGACACACGUAGUUGGGUUGAAAAUACUGAGGCGCUCGAGUGAUUCACGGUUAAGGAACUAGGCAAAUUGACCCUGUAACUUCGGGAUAAAGGGUCCCUACUGAGAGGUAGGGCGCAGAGAAUAGGUCCAGGCAACUGUUUAACAAAAACACAUGGCUGUGCGAAAUAGAAAUAUGAAGUAUACAGCCUGACACCUGCCCGGUGCUGGAAGGUUAAGAGGAGAGCUCAUCGCAAGAGAAGGCUUGAAUUGAAGCCCCAGUAAACGGCGGCCGUAACUAUAACGGUCCUAAGGUAGCGAAAUUCCUUGUCGGGUAAGUUCCGACCUGCACGAAUGGUGUAAUGAUCUGGACGCUGUCUCAACCGUGAGCUCAGUGAAAUUGUAGUAUCGGUGAAGAUGCCGAUUACCCGCGAUGGGACGAAAAGACCCCGUGAACCUUUACUAUAGCUUUACAUUGAAUUUGGGCAAUCGAUGUGUAGGAUAGGCCGGAGGCUAUGAAUCAGGCACGCCAGUGUUUGUGGAGCCGCCGUUGAAAUACGGCCCUUUGGUUGUUUGAGUUCUAACCCCUUGUUUGGCGGCUUUCGUCGGGCUUUUGCCAAGUUCUACCAAGGGUUACCGUCGCAGACGGAUGGCUGCGUUGAUGGCGGAAUCAUUGAGACUGGCAAGCCAGUUGAGCAGAUCCGGGUAGAUAUGCGGAUUGCGCGCAAGGAAGGGGUGCAGCUCCGGAGCUUUGCUUGCGAUUUCAGCCAUCAGCAUCUGAUCUUCCGUGGUCAUGGCCAAUUCUGCGGUGAAACCAGCAUUCGACGCGACUGGCUCUUGCGGCUGAAUCGGCGAAAAAUCAGCCACUUCAGACAGGUCUGCGGGGUUGGUAUAUGGGUCGACGUAUUCCGUCGAAGCAUCGUUCGCCAUAUUCGAUGCAGGUGUUGCCGCAAACGGCUCAGGCUGGCAUUGCUGGGUUGCCGGCGGCUGGUACUGCGCCUGAUAUUGCACUUCCGAUGAUUGCUGCGGCUGCUGGUAUUGCACCUGCUCGCUUGGCAUCUGGUAUUGCGCCUGUUCAGAAGCUGUCUCGGCCUCCUGCUGCAUGAUUCCGUCCUG
rnacentral:rRNA from 1 species